GGCUCGGUAGCUCAGUUGGUAGAGCAUAGGACUGAAAAUCCUAGUGUCGGCGGUUCAAUCCCGUCCCGAGCCA
rnacentral:tRNA from 1 species